rnacentral:tRNA from 1 species
GGGCUCGUAGCCUAGUCAGGAUAGGGCGGCAGCCUCCUAAGCUGCAGGCCGCGGGUUCGAAUCCCGCCGGGCCCG